AUUUUUCUCAAUAUUCUGGUGGGAUUAUUAUUUCCUUUUCCGUUUAUUAUAUUUUUAAGGGAAUUUUGAAAUAAUUUAGUUAUACUUCUACUUAACUACAAAAGUGCUAAAAAGCACUUUCCUUUUUAAGAGGUUUUUUUUUUAUUUUUGAUUUUUUCCUAAGCUAUCUUAAGAAAUUCUUUCAAGAAUUAUUCAAGUUUCUUCGAAUAAUACAACAAUGGAAAGAGUAAAACAAAGUAAUAAAAUUCCUUCUUUG
rnacentral:lncRNA from 1 species